rnacentral:rRNA from 1 species
AGCAGCCGCGGUAAUCCCAGCUCCAAUAGCGUAUAUUUAAGUUGUUGCAGUUAAAAAGCUCGUAGUUGGACCUUGGGGUUCUACCGUUGGUCGGGCUUUGUCUGUACUGGCGUGUAGAAUUUCUACCUUCUGGGGAACCAUCAUGUUAUUAAUUUAACGUGGUGGGAAACCAGGACCUUUACCUUGAAAAAAUUAGAGUGCUCCAGGCAGGCCUAUGCUCGAAUACAUUAGCAUGGAAUAAUAGAAUAGGACGUGUGGUUCUAUUUUGUUGGUUUCUAGGACCGCCGUAAUGAUUAAUAGGGACAGUCGGGGGCAUCAGUAUUCAAUUGUCAGAGGUGAAAUUCUUGGAUUUAU